AGCUCACCCACAACAUCUUAGUGCUCCUCUCCGAGUUUGAGACGUGGCACUGGAGCAUGUCCAUCAAGAUAAGAAUAAGAUGGCCACACUAAUGGCUGAAACUGGAGCAUGUCACUUCCAAAAUCUGUUCUGGCUCCAUCACCUCAUUCUUCGGGAAGCUCGUGAUGGAUAAGGUCUCUCUACCUCUCGAUCUGUCAGUGGUUAGUUCUCUUUUUCCCAAACCACUAUCUUUUUUUCUCUAUCUGUCCUGCGUGAGGGCUUUCUCCCCUCUGGAGUCUUGAUCCAUGUGUACGCCCUGCCGGCCUUAACACCACGCCAACCAAGCAUUGUUGGCUUCAGGCCACAAAUUUUAUAAGAUUUAUUGUUCGCCAAAAAAUUACAAAUGUUUCUUCCUUCUGGUAAGCUUAUUACUUUUUGUAAAUUUUCUUUUGUAAAAAUUUGCAAAUCAUCCAAUUUUUCUUUCUUGCUUGCAAUCUCCAAAGUUGAGGACAGACUUUGUGUGUAUAGUGUUCUACUUUUCUAGUUUUGGUUAUUUAGUUUGUUCACCUGUUUUUCAGCGAUACUCUUUCGGUUUUAAAAAGAAGACUAGAAUCCUCUCCUUUGGAGCUCCGGCGAAACGUGGUGACGGUGGUAAGUAUCGGUGGCUGUGCGAGGAUGGGGCGUCCAAGUCGAGGCGGGCGACGCGUGGCGGGCUGAUAAACCAGAUUCUUACACGUUGUAAAGCUCAUGCCUCCUUGACGUGCGUCUAGGUCAAGCCCGGCGUAGCUGUUUGGGCCUUGGACCAUUUUUGUUAUUUGGGCUUCGGCCGUUUUUUAGUUACCCGUUAGUUCUGUUUUUUAGGUUGUACUUUGGUGUACUCGGGCUUCGGCAGUGGGCUAGGCCCAUUUGUUCAAUAAAAUAACAAUUUGGGGG
rnacentral:lncRNA from 1 species